UGGGGAAUAUUGCGCAAUGGGCGAAAGCCUGACGCAGCGACGCCGCGUGAGGGAUGAAGGUCUUCGGAUCGUAAACCUCUGUCAGAAGGGAAGAAAUUACAUUGUGCUAAUCAGCGAUGUAUUGACGGUACCUUCAAAGGAAGCACCGGCUAACUCCGUGCCAGCAGCCGCGGUAAUACGGAGGGUGCGAGCGUUAAUCGGAAUCACUGGGCGUAAAGCGCACGUAGGCUGUUUUGUAAGUCAGGGGUGAAAUCCCACGGCUCAACCGUGGAACUGCCUUUGAUACUGCUCAACUAGAAUCCAGGAGAGGGUGGCGGAAUUCCAGGUGUAGGAGUGAAAUCCGUAGAUAUCUGGAGGAACAUCAGUGGCGAAGGCGGCCACCUGGACUGGUAUUGACGCUGAGGUGCGAAAGCGUGGGGAGCAAACA
rnacentral:rRNA from 1 species